rnacentral:tRNA from 1 species
UUAACUGAAGCCAAAACAGAGGCCUUUCAUUGUUAAUGAAAUUAUUGAUAAACUAGUAUCCAGUUAAA